rnacentral:tRNA from 1 species
UCGGAAUAUAGCACAGCUUGGUAGAGCAUCUGCUUUGGGAGCAGAAUGUCGUAGGUUCAAAUCCUGCUGUUCCGAA